rnacentral:lncRNA from 1 species
UUUCUGCAAGGUGAUCGAUGUCUUCGCCAUCCUGUGGCAAAGCUGUCCUAUAAUCAAGUUCCCAGAGGCGCCAAGUGCGGCGUCGUGUUCGGCAGUAAUCGGUGAACACCCAUCGCCAUGCCGAGUUUUAAAUGAUUACAGAGCUUCCGCGCAUCAUGCUGCUGCAAUCGUGGUCGACGAGGCAACAUGCUGCACUGCAAU